rnacentral:rRNA from 1 species
AUUGAACGCUGGCGGCAUGCUUUACACAUGCAAGUCGAACGGCAGCGCGGGCUUCUUCCUGGCUGCGCGUGGCGAACGGGGGAGUAAUGCAUCUGAGCGUGCCCAGCAUUGGUGGAUAGUACGUCGAAAGCCGGAUGAAUACCACAUACGACCUGCUGGUGAAAGCGGGGGACCGAUAGGCCUCGCCCGAUUUGAGGGGCCGAUGUCGGAUUAGCUAGUUGGUUGGGUAAAGGCUUACCAAGCCGACGAUCCGUAGCUGGUCUGAGAGGACGACAAGCCACACUGGAACUGAGACACGGACCAGACUCCUACGGGAGGCAGCAGUGGGGAAUUUUGGACAAUGGGGGGAACCCUGAUCCAGCCAUGCCGCGUGCGGGAAGAAGGCCUUCGGGUUGUAAAGCGCUUUUGUUCGGGAAGAAAUGCUCUGGGCUAAUACGCCGGGGGGAUGACGGUACCGGAAGAAUAAGCACCGGCUAACUACGUG